AUUGAAUUUCCCAAAAUGACUGAUUUGUAAAACUUCUAUAUAAUAGGGUCUUCCCAGACAGGGGCUGGUCCAAGUCCUAUAAACACAGAAGUGUCAUCUUUUCCUCUUUUUGUUGAGUUGACGUUUGUGCUGCUCAUUUGUACUUGACAGUGUGUUCAGCCUGGUUCUAAUAUCCCCUGUUGUUUCCUGUGUUUUUCUGACUCAGGCUGCUUUGUUUGACUAGAGGUCCUCCUAUGAGGUUUUAUUGUGUCCCUGAAGUUCACAUCACAGCUUGGUGAGGCAAGGCCUUUGAGGCCAACCCCAAGUCUGUCUGAAGGGAACAAAGGUCAGACUACAAAGUGGUUAUAGGUUGCUCUGUUUAUAAAAAUGCUUUCACCUGGCUAGCACUGAGAGCACUUCUGAUCCUCAGAGCUGGACACUACGAAACUUUACAUGUUAUGUAAUAUUUAAGGCAUACAAAAAAGAUAUGAAGAAUACAACCACAGCUGUCUGGGAAGCACGUCAGUCAGUUUGACUGGCAACACCUCAGCUCUUGUCCAGGCCUAGUUUCUCACACUGAGAGUGUCUGGGUGAGAAGGAGUAGCCACAUGACAACACUCUGAAAGGUGUCCUGCUCAACUCUUCAUUUACAACUCGCGAGGGACCAGGUGAGCCUUGGAUACACAGCUUAGAUUUGAUGCCAGACCAAGUGCGUUUCUGCAGGACAACCAUCCCAGUGCCUAUUCUGCAUGAGGGAGAAGCCAGUGAGGGUUUGGGAUACCGAGGCUCCCCCUCUGUCCUGGUAGUAGCUGGGAGUCUGCUCACCGCCCUCUCUCACUCUGUAGAGCGUACUUCUUUUCCAUCUUCAGUAAAAGUGCAUCCUCGCCACCUUUUCUGUGCGUCUUGUCCAAUUCUUUGUUCAGGACACCAAGGACCUGGAAAGAAUCUCUUUGGGACCCCAAAGCUGGUAGCACUAUGGAUAGACCUAUGCCAAAACAUUCAAUAAUUCUUAAAAAUAUACAAAUUACCUAAACUGCUUCAAG